UCACUCGUCUCUCUUCUUCUCCACAGGUUAAACUCUUGUGGUCUCACCUCGGCCUGCUGCUCAGCUCUCUCCUCAGUCCUCUCGUCUCCAAACUCACGGCUGACUGAACUGGUGCUGAACAACAACAACCUGGGAGAUUCAGGGGCUCGUCAGCUGAGUGAGGGGCUCAGGAGUGACAACUGUAAAUUAAAAGGACUGUGGUUGGCCUCUUGUGGUCUCACCUCGGCCUGCUGCUCAGCACUCUCCUCGGUCCUCUCGUCUCCAGACUCACGGCUGACUGCACUGAACCUGAGCAGAAACAAGCUGGGAGAUUCAGGGGCUCGUCAGCUGAGUGAGGGGCUCAGGAGUGACAACUGUAAAUUAGAGAGACUGGGGCUGUCUGGUAACGAGAUCAGUGAGAGUGAGAGGAGGAACCUGAGGUCACUACAGGAGAAGCUGAGGAGGUCUGGACGUCAGCUGACUAUCAGUACAUCAAUAUUCCAGCUCUGGUGAUCAGACUGACACCCUGUCAGUGACAGAGCCCCCCGUCCACUCACCCCUAAAUUCUCCUCUUUCUUCUUUUUCUUCUCCUUUCAGCUCUGCUCUUCAUUUAAUAAACUCUCUGUGUCCCCUCA